UAUAAUUGUUUUUCAUAAAAUGUUUCUCCAACAGAGUCUGUAGGGUUUAUGAGAAUUUUUAAAUUUUAUAUGUUCAUUUUGAUGUUAACCCAAAACCAUUUUUAAACCAGUUUUAAAUAUAUUGCUAAAAUUCUUACAGCAAUUAUUUGGCAAUUAGAAAACAGUUCCACAGAUUAAGACUUUAAUUUCUUAAGUAAACACAGUUUCAGGGUUUGAGAG
rnacentral:lncRNA from 1 species